rnacentral:rRNA from 1 species
GCGAGCGAACGGGGAGCAGCCCAGAGCCUGAAUCAGUGUGUGUGUUAGUGGAAGCGUCUGGAAAGGCGCGCGAUACAGGGUGACAGCCCCGUACACAAAAAUGCACAUGCUGUGAGCUCGAUGAGUAGGGCGGGACACGUGGUAUCCUGUCUGAAUAUGGGGGGACCAUCCUCCAAGGCUAAAUACUCCUGACUGACCGAUAGUGAACCAGUACCGUGAGGGAAAGGCGAAAAGAACCCCGGCGAGGGGAGUGAAAAAGAACCUGAAACCGUGUACGUACAAGCAGUGGGAGCACGCUUAGGCGUGUGACUGCGUACCUUUUGUAUAAUGGGUCAGCGACUUAUAUUCUGUAGCAAGGUUAACCGAAUAGGGGAGCCGAAGGGAAACCGAGUCUUAACUGGGCGUUAAGUUGCAGGGUAUAGACCCGAAACCCGGUGAUCUAGCCAUGG